rnacentral:rRNA from 1 species
UACGUAGGAGGCGAGCGUUGUCCGGAAUCACUGGGCGUAAAGCGCGUGUAGGCGGGUAGGCAAGUCUGCUGUGAAAGCGCCUGGCUUAACCGGGCGAGGUCGGCGGAAACUGCUUACCUGGAGGACGGUAGAGGGGGGUGGAAUUCCGGGUGUAGCGGUGGAAUGCGUAGAGAUCCGGAAGAACACCGGUGGCGAAGGCGGCCUGCUGGGCAGUAGCUGACGCUGAUGCGCGACAGCGUGGGGAGCAAACAGG